CUUCAACGAGCCGAGCAGGAGCGGCCGUUCACGCUCUUGUCCAUAGGUCGCGAGGAGCGCCUGCGCCUC
rfam:Streptomyces agglomeratus strain 6-3-2 1, whole genome shotgun sequence.